rnacentral:rRNA from 1 species
AGCAGCCGCGGUAAUUCCAGCUCCAAUAGCGUAUAUUAAAGUUGUUGCAGUUAAAAAGCUCGUAGUUGAAUUUCGGGAUUAGUAGUCUGGUCGUGCCACUGGUAUGUACUGGUCUUACUGAUUUCUCCUUCUUGAAGAACCGUAAUGUCAUUAAUUUGUUGUUGCGGGGAAUCUGGACUGUUACUUUGAAAAAAUUAGGGUGUUUAAAGCAGGCUAACGCUUGAAUACAUUAGCAUGGAAUAAUGAAAUAGGACGUUCGAUCCUAUUUUGUUGGUUUCUAGGAUUGACGUAAUGAUUAAUAGGGAUAGUUGGGGGCAUUAGUAUUCAAUUGCCAGAGGUGAAAUUCUUGGAUUUAUUGAAGACUAACUACUGCGAAAGCAUUUGCCAAGGAUGUUUUCAUUAAUCAAGAACGAAAGUUAGGGGAUCGAAGACGAUCAGAUACCGUCGUAGUCUUAACCAUAAACUAUGCCGACUAGGGAUCGGAUGAUGUUAAUUUUUUAAUGACUCAUUCGGCGCCUUA